rnacentral:rRNA from 1 species
GGUUAAGCGACUAAGCGUACACGGUGGAUGCCCUGGCAGUCAGAGGCGAUGAAGGACGUGCUAAUCUGCGAUAAGCGCCGGUAAGGUGAUAUGAACCGUUAUAACCGGCGAUUUCCGAAUGGGGAAACCCAGUGUGACUCGUCACACUAUCAUUAACUGAAUCCAUAGGUUAAUGAGGCGAACCGGGGGAACUGAAACAUCUAAGUACCCC